AUCUUGUUGCAUUUUACAUAUUGCAGAGUGAAACACAGCUUGAUGGAACUGUUCGUUGUGACUACCCAUUUUGAGCAGGCAGCAGCUAACGAGGCUAUAUAAGAGAAUUGGACAAAGGUGUUGAACGCUUUUCGGACAAUUUGACACUGUCCGCAACUGAAACAUCAAGCCACAAUGCAGAAACUCUUUUCUUGGUCACAUGGAUGGAACUGGCGCUUGAUGACAGACGAUAUGGACCAAAUAUUAUGUAGAUAACAAAGAGGAAAAGUGGAAAACUUUAUUGCUAUUAACCGGUUAGUUCCCGAAGACUCUCUCUGCCUAUUAACUUUCUCAAUAAAGCAAUGUAAAAAUUUGCCUUGAAAUAGUCUUUUAUUUUCUC